AGCACUGUGGUAUAGGGAUCUGAAUGCUGGACUAGGACUCCAGAAGACCAGGGUUCGAAUCCCCCUUUUGCCA